GAUGAACGCUGGCGGCGUGCCUAAUACAUGCAAGUCGAGCGAACAGACGAGUAGCUUGCUCCUCUGACGUUAGCGGCGGACGGGUGAGUAACACGUGGAUAACCUACCUAUAAGACUGGGAUAACUUCGGGAAACCGGAGCUAAUACCGGAUAAUAUAUUGAACCGCAUGGUUCAAUAGUGAAAGACGGUUUUGCUGUCACUUAUAGAUGGAUCCGCGCCGCAUUAGCUAGUUGGUAAGGUAACGGCUUACCAAGGCAACGAUGCGUAGCCGACCUGAGAGGGUGAUCGGCCACACUGGAACUGAGACACGGUCCAGACUCCUACGGGAGGCAGCAGUAGGGAAUCUUCCGCAAUGGGCGAAAGCCUGACGGAGCAACGCCGCGUGAGUGAUGAAGGUCUUCGGAUCGUAAAACUCUGUUAUUAGGGAAGAACAAAUGUGUAAGUAACUAUGCACGUCUUGACGGUACCUAAUCAGGAAGCCACGGCUAACUACGUG
rnacentral:rRNA from 1 species